AGGAGGCUCGCCCUCAGAGAGCAGACAAGAGAAGGCAGGGAGUGGGACUGAGGAGGAGAUCUAAACCCAGGUCCCAUCUGGACAGGACACAAGUCAGAGGAUUCUGACAGGAAGGCACAGAAAUGCAAGCCAACCCUGCCAGCUCUGGAAAUAAAUAAAUAACAAUCCAUGUUCUAAACACCUCCAUGGGGGCAGAAGCCUGCCGGGAAGGAAGCCCACAGAGGAGGAGGGACCCGCCCGGUGCAACUUUUCCCCAGGCAUGGACGAGUGAGGCUUGAACACCCCAGGCUAUCUGCACAUGAGAAGCUGCAGUCACCUCCCAAGGGAGCUGCCCCCUGCUCUGGCUGGUCAAACGGAACCAAGUCCGUCUUCCUGAGAGGUUUGGUCCCCUUCAAC
rnacentral:lncRNA from 1 species